rfam:Ipomoea nil DNA, scaffold: scaffold3210, cultivar: Tokyo-kokei standard.
GACGGUUUGGCCGAGUGGUCUAAGGCACCAGAUUUAGGCUCUGGUCUGAAAGGGUGUGGGUUCAAAUCCCACAGCCGUCA